GACGAACGCUGGCGGCGUGCUUAACACAUGCAAGUCGAACGGAAAGGCCCUUCGGGGUACUCGAGUGGCGAACGGGUGAGUAACACGUGGGUGAUCUGCUCUGCACUUUGGGAUAAGCCUGGGCAACUGGGUCUAAUACCGAAUAGGACCACGCGCUUCAUGGUGUGUGGUGGAAAGCUUUUGCGGUGUGGGAUGGGCCCGCGGCCUAUCAGCUUGUCGGUGGGGUAAUGGCCUACCAAGGCGACGACGGGUAGCCGGCCUGAGAGGGUGACCGGCCACACUGGGACUGAGAUACGGCCCAGACUCCUACGGGAGGCAGCAGUGGGGAAUAUUGCACAAUGGGCGGAAGCCUGAUGCAGCGACGCCGCGUGAGGGAUAACGGCCUUCGGGUUGUAAACCUCUUUCAUUAGGGACGAAGCGCAAGUGACGGUACCUAUAGAAGAAGCACCGGCCAACUACGUG
rnacentral:rRNA from 1 species